UGAAAAUUCAUGAAGCAGAAUGGUUUGUCAUUCGUCACCCAAGGUAAUGUGAAUUCACUUAUAAAAGAGAGAUUUUAGGUGGCUCAGGAUAGUAUCCACAUUUUCUUGAUUUUUCAGUCGACACAAGGUACAUCUAUUGUGUUCAUGCCACAUUCAGGAUGCAGUUAGUUUAUGUGGCAUGUAGAAAUUUUUAUGACCUGGCCUCUUCCUGCUUGUAGAUAUAUUACCGCUUCUUAUUUGAUAUGUGAGUUAAUGUUGGAAAUGGCCUCGCACGAUUUAAUAUUGUUUUCUCCAUUUGUCAAGCAGCCUGACCUUAUGCUGUUCUUUCUUCAGCCAGGUGUGCCUAUUAGCAAAUCUUGUUUCAAGCUGGCUAUUGAGUUGCAAAGAGUUAGUUUGCACGGAACAGUCAAGUGGGACAAGCUUAUCCGUGUGUGUCACCAAGAUGUUAUUAUGAGAUAGCCGAGGAGGAAAUGUUUGUUUGAACUGCAUAGAGUAUGCUCUCAUGAAGUAUAAGGGCAUGCUAGUGUUGGAAGCUCCUGACUUGAAACAUCAAGGGCUUUGCAAGUGCGCCGAUUGGUGAUAGAUGAUUAAUGAAAAACUAGAUUCCAGUAGUUCAUAACUUCGCUCCACGCUUGUUCCCUCAGCCCUGCGCUGACAUUAACCUCAAUGAUGGUUCCCUUGGUUAUAACACCUAGAGAAGUGUACAUUGGACCAUUAGGAUUCUUCUUCACCCCAAUGAUCUCAAGAUUGAACGUACAUUUAAGUUCAGGAUGUGUCACGUGGGCUUUAGUAAACCGUAAUCCAGACGGGCGGAUGAACCGCUCAUACUUUGGAGGUUUCCUGGUAAACCCUGCUCCGACAAAGGUGGCUUUCGUAACCAUUCUCUUCCACUGCUUGGUC
rnacentral:misc_RNA from 1 species